rnacentral:rRNA from 1 species
UACAGAGGUCUCAAGCGUUGUUCGGAAUCACUGGGCGUAAAGCGCACGUAGGCGGAUUGUUAAGUCAGGGGUGAAAUCCUGGAGCUCAACUCCAGAACUGCCUUUGAUACUGACGGUCUCGAGUCCGGGAGAGGUGAGUGGAACUGCGAGUGUAGAGGUGAAAUUCGUAGAUAUUCGCAAGAACACCAGUGGCGAAGGCGGCUCACUGGCCCGGUACUGACGCUGAGGUGCGAAAGCG